CGGGACGGGUGAGUAACGCGUGGAAAACCUGCCGUAUACUGGAGGAUAACACUUAGAAAUAGGUGCUAAUACCGCAUAAGCGCACAGCUUCGCAUGAAGCGGUGUGAAAAACUCUGGUGGUAUACGAUGGUUCCGCGUCUGAUUAGCUAGUUGGUGGGGUAAUGGCCUACCAAGGCAACGAUCAGUAGCCGGCCUGAGAGGGUGAACGGCCACAUUGGGACUGAGACACGGCCCAAACUCCUACGGAAGGCAGCAG
rnacentral:rRNA from 1 species